ACAUAAUUAACACGAAGAACAUGAUUAAAAUCCAAAAAUUUAAAUAGUUUGCCUUUAAAAGCAAGUAGCAGAUGAAUAGAUGCUUCAUUGAUUUUAAGGUUACAUGCAAAAUUCAAUUGCUGCAAAAAUCUAAGAGGGCACAUGCACCUUCUGUUUGAAUGGGCAUGUCACGUCUAGGGUGGAGGUAUUUAAUUUUGUUUGUAACAAAAAAAUGCAAUAAGUAAUAGUCCAAUUACAAACUAUACAUUUGUAUUAACAUAAUGUACUAACGAAGGUAGUUAAUUUCAGCAGUCUCCCAGUAAGCAAGCCAUCAGGAUGACAGCGGUCAUGGGGUUAAAAAAAUGGGUACAGUCAAAUGUGUGUCUUCCAUUAUUGAUCAAAAUAUCUACUUUUGUGCCUAUAGGACAAGAAAACAAGUCAUACAGGUUACCUCAUCAGCACCGUCACAGCUGUUCUCCAUUUUAUCCAGCCUACUUAAUGCAUUGUCUCUUGUCUUCUGGUUGCUGGAUCAUCGUCUUUUGUUUCUCAUGCUUGUUCCUGUUCUCUGUUUCAUGCCUCAGUUUGGUUUAAUGUUAGGUUGUUUUAAUAAAUGUUAUUCUUUUUUUGAAUUUUGCGAUUGCUUUCUAAUUCCUGAAACCAGUCAUGACAGCGAGAGUGAGUACAUGAUUCUACUUUAAAAUGUAGAGGACUUAAAUCUUUUAUCCAUGAAAUGACCUCCAAAUACUAUGCACAUUUCAUAUAUAAAUAUAGUGAGAUUUUCUGAAUCUAUGGUUUAAAAAUCCCAUCUACAGUUUACAUAUAGCGAUUCACACAGCCAUUUUCACCAAUGGAGGUAACACUUGGUUCAAAAAAGAGAUUAGAAGGCCUAGAAUUGUGUUAAUACGCAUUGAAUAAACAAAUUAUCUGUAAAAUCAGAUACUUAAGAGUAAUUCUGUUGAUGUUUUCUGUUGAGUCUCCAGGACUGUAUAAAUUAAAAACCUAAAGUAUACUGUUGGAUAUUAAUUUUCCGUUUUGUGUUUAAUUGUAUUUUGAAUUAACCAGAUUUACAAUUAUGUUGUGCUAAGUGUAGAAAGUCUCCUAAAAUUAAAUCUGUUUUUUUUCUUGCAGUGUGUAUAGUGGGUAAAGCAUUAAACAUCUUAAGUUUAAUGUAUCCCUAUUGAAAAAUUGAUCUAAUACCAUAAGCAUAAGCUGGUGAUCUGGUUUUAGCUGGUCUCCCAGCUUGGUUUUAGCUGGUUUUGCUGGUGUAGCAAGCUGGCUUUAUUUUGUUUUAGAUUUGGUCUCUUUUUAAGCUGGUCAGGCUGGAAGACCAGCUGACCCACCAGCUUGACCAGCUUUGCCAGGCUUUGAGGACCAGCUUAAACCAGCUACUGCCACCUUAGCUAAAACCAGUUACCAGCUUAUGCUGGUCUUAGCUGGAAUUUUCAGUAGGGAUUGUUUAUAUUUACUGAGAAACUGUUAUGAUUUUAUAUGCUUGCAUAUUUGAUCACUGUUUCUUUUUUACAUUUAUUUGUAUAAUUUUUCACAGUUUACACUAUUGCAAAGCAGCUUUACAAAAGGACACACUGUAGUACUGAUUAGUUGAUUAUUAAUAAACUUUUUUUAAUAAUGUUAAGUAAUGGUCCUUGAUUUACUUUUUAUCUGUUACAGUUAGCCAAAGUGAAAUCUUAAAUCCAUUAUCAUGUUUUAUUUAUAUCCAACAUUCAUACUAUGUUAUUUUAAUGUAUAGUGAACGAAAAUGUUUUUAAUUAAUGUAAAUUAUCUGUAGUUUGCGGUAAAAAAAAAUUAUGGCACUUGACUUGUUAUAAAAAUAUACUUAUAUUUUAUAAAAUAGAAAUAAAUGUUUUUUUUCUGAUGAAAAUAUGGGCUUUAUGUGUAUGUUGAAAUCGUUGUAAUAAUAUAAAGUAAAAAUUGCAAUAGAUUUUUGUAAAACAGAUACCUUUUGGAUAAUCGAAUUGUGCCGUUCUAAAUAAACCAGCGGUGACGCGUAUAGUUGCCAUUAUGAGGUCACCCCAUAAAGACGGGAUGUCACAGAGUGCUUGGAGUCAGUUCUAAAAGAACUCAGCCUUUUAGAAACGAUAUGAUUGAUACACGGAGCACGGGUAAACAUACGCUAAAUCCAUUGUUAUUCCAGGAGUGCUGUGAUUAGUAGAAAGGUUUUAGGCUAGUUAAAAAACUACAUUUGGGCUGCGUUGUUUUUACUUUUACAUUAGUUUCCAUCGGUGUGACGUGCAAUAAUUAAAUUAGAUUCAACCGAAUAAGAAAAACAAAGAAAUUAUGUGCGUUUCCAUCAAGUUGUUUGGGUGAAUGACGGUGGUAUUGGUAACCUAGCAACCAACAGUAAACAAAACAAUGUACGCGUGGUAAAUGGAGACAGGACUGCAUCUAGUCACGAUGGGGCAAGUUAUUAAUUUAUAAGCAGUGCAGCUUGUAAUUGCCAAACUAAAUGCUGUGCAGCACAGAAGGAGGAAUGCAGCAUUUUGAUGAAGGCACUAGCAGCAAGGAUAUUACGACGACGUCGAGCCCCAUAUAUGGUAAAGACAACUCCAGCGGAAACAGCUAGACGGUUGAGAGGAGCAGCCCACACCGUACCAUCUCCCAGUCAGGGAGAUCCCCGUCGGAGAAGCAGCAGCUGGAUCUCCUUGAUGCCUGCCCCUGUCCGUCUCUCCAGCAAAAACAGGUUUUUCUGGGAUGUCCUCCACCUCUUCCUCUGAAUGAUGACUUUGAUCCUGCAAAUCACACAAUACACACUGAACAUUUUGGAGUCCAAAUAUGAUGCCAUGUUGCUGUAAUAAUGUGUGCAUUUUUCAACAAGUAACUAAUAAAUGAUAACUUCUGCAUAGAUGUGGUAUUUCAUUUUUGUUUUAUGAAAAUGCAAUCUUUUGCAUUCAUUCCUGUGACAUUUA